GUCAGUAUCGUUCGUCUUCCAAAGUCACAAACAUGUCUUUCAGGACCGCCGUUUUCCUCGCCCUGAUGGUAGGCACAUUUGCUGAAUCUGGCCCAAGAUACAGUCCUCCUGCCCCAUCUUACCACGCCCCUGCACCAGCACCCUCGGGACCAGCACAAUAC